AGAACUAAUAAUAUUUAGAAUUAAAUGAAGGAGUAACGCCCUGAAGGAUUCUUCCUAAUACUCCGACAUGCAUAUAUAUAGCAAGAUAUUUAUGUAUGAAGCUCGGUAAAGUCGGUUGAGAUUUCUCCCUAACGGUUAUAAUAAAUAUAAUUAAAUCGAGGAAAUGUGAACUAUGAUAGUCAAGAGAUUUAUAGAUCGGGGAUCAUUAA
rnacentral:ncRNA from 1 species